rnacentral:rRNA from 1 species
UACGUAGGGGGCUAGCGUUGUCCGGAAUCAUUGGGCGUAAAGCGCGUGUAGGCGGCCCGGUAAGUCCGCUGUGAAAGUCGGGGGCUCAACCCUCGAAAGCCGGUGGAUACUGUCGGGCUCGAGUGCGGAAGAGGCGAGCGGAAUUCCUGGUGUAGCGGUGAAAUGCGCAGAUAUCAGGAGGAACACCGAUUGCGAAGGCAGCUCGCUGGGACGUUACUGACGCUGAGACGCGAAAGCGUGGGGAGCAAACAGG